GAUGAACGCUAGCGGCAGGCCUAACACAUGCAAGUCGAGGGGUAGAACACUUCGGUGUUUGAGACCGGCGCACGGGUGCGUAACGCGUAUGCAAUCUACCUUGUACAGGGGAAUAGCCCAGAGAAAUUAGGAUUAAUGCCCCAUAGUAUAUAACCUUCGCAUGUUGGUUAUAUUAAAGUUCCAACGGUACAAGAUGAGCAUGCGUCCCAUUAGUUAGUUGGUAAGGUAACGGCUUACCAAGACGAUGAUGGGUAGGGGUCCUGAGAGGGAGAUCCCCCACACUGGUACUGAGACACGGACCAGACUCCUACGGGAGGCAGCAGUGAGGAAUUAUUGGUCAAUGGUCGCAAGACUGAACCAGCCAUGCCGCGUACAGGAAGACGGUCCUAUGGAUUGUAAACUGCUUUUAUACAGGAAGAAACCCUCCCACGUGUGGGAGCUUGACGGUACUGUAGGAAUAAGGAUCGGCUAACUCCGUGCCAGCCGCCGCUGUAACAC
rnacentral:rRNA from 1 species